rnacentral:miRNA from 1 species
UCAUCCCCCUCGCCCUCUCAG